rnacentral:rRNA from 1 species
GAUGAACGCUGGCGGCGUGCUUAACACAUGCAAGUCGAACGAAGCACUUAAGACAGAUUCUUUCGGGAUGAAGACUUUUGUGACUGAGUGGCGGACGGGUGAGUAACGCGUGGGUAACCUGCCUUAUACAGGGGGAUAGCAGUUGGAAACGACUGGUAAUACCGCAUAAGCGCACAGUACCGCAUGGUACAGUGUGAAAAACUCCGGUGGUAUAAGAUGGACCCGCGUCUGAUUAGCUGGUUGGCAGGGUAACGGCCUACCAAGGCGACGAUCAGUAGCCGACCUGAGAGGGUGACCGGCCACAUUGGGACUGAGACACGGCCCAGACUCCUACGGGAGGCAGCAGUGGGGAAUAUUGCACAAUGGAGGAAACUCUGAUGCAGCGACGCCGCGUGAGUGAAGAAGUAUUUCGGUAUGUAAAGCUCUAUCAGCAGGGAAGAUAAUGACGGUACCUGACUAAGAAGCA